rnacentral:rRNA from 1 species
AACAGGAUUAGAUACCCUGGUAGUCCACGCCGUAAACGAUGUCGACUUGGAGGCUGUUCCCUUGAGGAGUGGCUUCCGGAGCUAACGCGUUAAGUCGACCGCCUGGGGAGUACGGCCGCAAGGUUAAAACUCAAAUGAAUUGACGGGGGCCCGCACAAGCGGUGGAGCAUGUGGUUUAAUUCGAUGCAACGCGAAGAACCUUACCUACUCUUGACAUCCAGAGAAUUUAGCAGAGAUGCUUUAGUGCCUUCGGGAACUCUGAGACAGGUGCUGCAUGGCUGUCGUCAGCUCGUGUUGUGAAAUGUUGGGUUAAGUCCCGCAACGAGCGCAACCCUUAUCCUUUGUUGCCAGCGCGUAAUGGCGGGAACUCAAAGGAGACUGCCGGUGAUAAACCGGAGGAAGGUGGGGAUGACGUCAAGUCAUCAUGGCCCUUACGAGUAGGGCUACACACGUGCUACAAUGGCGCAUACAAAGAGAAGCGACCUCGCGAGAGCAAGCGGACCUCAUAAAGUGCGUCGUAGUCCGGAUUGGAGUCUGCAACUCGACUCCAUGAAGUCGGAAUCGCUAGUAAUCGUAAAUCAGAAUGUUACGGUGAAUACGUUCCCGGGCCUUGUACACACCGCCCGUCACACCAUGGGAGUGGGUUGCAAAAGAAGUAGAUAGCUUAACCUUCGGGAGGGCGUUUACCACUUUGUGAUUCAUGACUGGGGUGAAGUCGUAACAAGGUAACCGUAGGGGAACCUGCGGCUGGAUCACCUCCUU